UGAAAUAUUCCAAUUACAAGUGUUUUUUAUCCAUCUACCUAAUGAAGGACAUCUUGGCUGUUUCCAAGUUUUGCAAUUACGAAUAAAGCUGCUAUAAACAUGUGUGUGCAGGUUUUUAUGUGGGCAUAAAUGUUCAACUCUCUUGGGUAAAUACUAAGGAGCACAAUUACUGGGAUGUAAGGUAACAGUGUUCAGCUCUAGAAGAAAGCACCAAACUGAAUUCCAAAGUGUCUGUACCAUUUUGCAUCGCAGCGAAUGGGAGUUCUUACUUCUCCACAUUUUCAUUAGCAUUUGGUACUGUCAGUUUUCUAGAUUUGGGGCAUUCUAAUAGGUUUGUAGUGGUAUCUCUUUCUCUGAUGACAUAUGACGUGGAACGUCUUUCGUAAGCUUACUUGCUUUCUGUAUAUCUUCUUUGGUGAGAUGUCUGUUAACGUCUUUGAAUCAUUUUUUAAUUUGAGUUGUUUGUGUAAUUAUCUAUUGGUUGGUUGGUGGU